rnacentral:rRNA from 1 species
AGUCGUACGAGAAACCGGAACUUCGGUUCCGGGAGUAAAGUGGCGCACGGGUGAGUAACGCGUAGGUAAUCUACCCUUGGGUUUGGAAUAACCCGCCGAAAGGCGUGCUAAUACCGGAUAAAAUCUUUCAGAGGGAUCUGAAAGAUCAAAGGUGGCCUCUCCAUGGAUGCUACUGCCUGAGGAUGAGCCUGCGUCCCAUUAGCUUGUUGGUAGGGUAAUGGCCUACCAAGGCUACGAUGGGUAGCUGGUCUGAGAGGAUGAUCAGUCACACUGGAACUGGAACACGGUCCAGACUCCUACGGGAGGCAGCAGUGAGGAAUAUUGCGCAAUGGGGGAAACCCUGACGCAGCGACGCCGCGUGGGCGAAGAAGGCCUUCGGGUCGUAAAGCCCUGUCUAGAGGGAAGAAAUUCUCAAUGGAAUAAUACCCAUUGAGAUUGACGGUACCUCUGGAGGAAGCACCGGCUAACUCCGUGCCAGCAGCCGCGGUAAUACGGAGGGUGCGAGCGUUGUUCGGAA